rnacentral:rRNA from 1 species
UACGUAGGUGGCAAGCGUUGUCCGGAUUUACUGGGCGUAAAGAGCGCGCAGGCGGUCGAUCAAGUCGCGUGUGAAAGCCCCCGGCUCAACUCCGGAAUUGCCUUUAAGACUGCAUCGCUAGAAUUGUGGAGAGGUAAGUGGAAUUCCGAGUGUAGAGGUGAAAUUCGUAGAUAUUCGGAAGAACACCAGUGGCGAAGGCGACUUACUGGACACAUAUUGACGCUGAGGUGCGAAAGCGUGGGGAGCAAACAGG